ACAUAGACGAUGACGGAGAAAAGUAAACGAACAACGGCCUUACAGGGACCGUGUGCCGACCGACUGAGAGCACAUGGAAGGAAACGAUUUGUUGAAGUUCGCUCCUGAGUUGAUCCCUGAACAAGGAAUACCUCCUUCAUUAGGGUGAUCCGUCCGCAUGACGUUACCAUGCAUUGAGCGAGAAAGCCAACACGGCUGUCUAACAAGGGUGGUACCACGGAGUUUCACCGUCCCUUGA
rnacentral:ncRNA from 1 species